rnacentral:rRNA from 1 species
AACUAACAAGGAUUCCCCUAGUAGCGGCGAGCGAAGCGGGAAGAGCUCAAAUUUAUAAUCUGGCACUUUCAGUGUCCGAGUUGUAAUCUCUAGAAGUGUUUUCCGCGUUGGACCGCACACAAGUCUGUUGGAAUACAGCGGCACAGUGGUGACACCCCCGUACACGGUGCGGACGCCCAGCGCUUUGUGAUACACUUUCGAAGAGUCGAGUUGUUUGGGAAUGCAGCUCAAAUUGGGUGGUAAAUUCCAUCUAAAGCUAAAUAUUGGCGAGAGACCGAUAGCGAACAAGUACCGUGAGGGAAAGAUGAAAAGCACUUUGGAAAGAGAGUUAACAGUACGUGAAAUUGUUGGAAGGGAAACGCUUGAAGUCAGACUUGCUUGCCGGAGCUUGCUUCGGUUUGCAGGCCAGCAUCAGUUUUCCGGGGUGGAUAAUGGCGGUUAGAAGGUAGCAGCUUCAGCUGUGUUAUAGCUUUCCGCUGGAUACAUCCUGGGGGACUGAGGAACGCAGCGUGCUU